GUGCUCACUUUUGCAGCACAUAUACUAAAAUUGGAACAAUACAGAGAAAAAUUAGCAUGGCCCCUUCACAAAGAUGACAUGCAAAUUCAUGAAGCAUUCCAUAUUUUA
rnacentral:snRNA from 1 species